rnacentral:snoRNA from 1 species
GCCCUUCCAGGAUCGCCUCUGGAGAACAGCUCGUAUUCUGCCGGCUUCGGAGACGGAGGGAAAACAGCCUGUCAGAGACCCAUCCUGUUCUCUGUUUGCUCAGGAGGUGGUGACUGGAUGAUACUGCAACAGGA